rnacentral:rRNA from 1 species
UACGGAGGGUGCAAGCGUUAUCCGGAUUCACUGGGUUUAAAGGGUGCGUAGGUGGGCAGGUAAGUCAGUGGUGAAAUCUCCGGGCUUAACUCGGAAACUGCCAUUGAUACUAUCUGUCUUGAAUACCGUGGAGGUUAGCGGAAUAUGUCAUGUAGCGGUGAAAUGCUUAGAUAUGACAUAGAACACCAAUUGCGAAGGCAGCUGGCUACACGAAUAUUGACACUGAUGCACGAAAGCGUGGGAAUCAAACAGG